rnacentral:rRNA from 1 species
CCCUUAGAUGUCCUGGGCCGCACGCGUGCUACACUGAUGCAUACAGCGAGUACUUUCCAGCUCCGCGAGGCAGCUGGUAAUCAGCAAUAUGCAUCGUGCUGGGGAUAGAUCUUUGGAAUUAUAGAUCUUGAACGAGGAAUUCCUAGUAAGCGCAAGUCAUUAGCUUGCGCUGAUUAAGUCCCUGCCCUUUGUACACACCGCCCGUCGCUCCUACCGAUUUCGAGUGAUUCGGUGAACCUUUUGGACAGCGUCUGUCCUCGUGUCAGAUGCUGAAAGUCGAGUAAACCAUAUCACUUAGAGGAAGGAGAAGUCGUAACA